rnacentral:rRNA from 1 species
UACAGAGGAGCCAAGCGUUGUCCGGAUUGACUGGGCGUAAGGGCGCGCAGGCGGCUGCUCAAGUCAGGCGUGAAAGGCCGGGCUCAACCCGGGAAUUGCGCUUGGAGACUGGGGCUGGCUUGAGUGCGGGGAGGAGGAUGGUGGGAAUUCCAGUGUAGAGGUGAAAUUCGUAGAUAUUGGGAAGAACACCGGUGGCGAAGGCGGCCAUCUGGACCGCAACUGACGCUGAGG